CGUAGGGUCCAAGCGUUAUCCGGAAUCACUGGGCGUAAAGCGUGCGUAGGUGGUUUGUUAAGUGUGGUGUUAAAUCGUGGGGCUCAACCCUAUCGAUGCAUCGCAUACUGGCAGACUAGAGGACAGCAGAGGCAAGUGGAAUUUGUAGUGUAGCAGUGAAAUGCGUAGAUAUUACAAGGAACACCAAUGGCGAAGGCAGCUUGCUGGGCUACUCCUGACACUGAGGUACGAAAGCGUGGGGAGCGAACAGGAUUAGAUACCCUGGUAGUCCACGCCGUAAACGAUGCAUACUAGACGUAUGGGGUAUCGACCCCCUGUGCGUCGAAGCUAACGCGAUAAGUAUGCCGCCUGGGAAGUACGGCCGCAAGGCUA
rnacentral:rRNA from 1 species